GGUUAAGCGACUAAGCGUACACGGUGGAUGCCCUGGCAGUCAGAGGCGAUGAAGGACGUGCUAAUCUGCGAUAAGCGUCGGUAAGGUGAUAUGAACCGUUAUAACCGGCGAUUUCCGAAUGGGGAAACCCAGUGUGAUUCGUCACACUAUCAUUAACUGAAUCCAUAGGUUAAUGAGGCGAACCGGGGGAACUGAAACAUCUAAGUACCCCGAGGAAAAGAAAUCAACCGAGAUUCCCCCAGUAGCGGCGAGCGAACGGGGAGGAGCCCAGAGCCUGAAUCAGUGUGUGUGUUAGUGGAAGCGUCUGGAAAGGCGCGCGAUACAGGGUGACAGCCCCGUACACAAAAAUGCACAUAUUGUGAGCUCGAUGAGUAGGGCGGGACACGUGGUAUCCUGUCUGAAUAUGGGGGGACCAUCCUCCAAGGCUAAAUACUCCUGACUGACCGAUAGUGAACCAGUACCGUGAGGGAAAGGCGAAAAGAACCCCGGCGAGGGGAGUGAAAAAGAACCUGAAACCGUGUACGUACAAGCAGUGGGAGCACGCUUAGGCGUGUGACUGCGUACCUUUUGUAUAAUGGGUCAGCGACUUAUAUUCUGUAGCAAGGUUAACCGAAUAGGGGAGCCGAAGGGAAACCGAGUCUUAACUGGGCGUUAAGUUGCAGGGUAUAGACCCGAAACCCGGUGAUCUAGCCAUGGGCAGGUUGAAGGUUGGGUAACACUAACUGGAGGACCGAACCGACUAAUGUUGAAAAAUUAGCGGAUGACUUGUGGCUGGGGGUGAAAGGCCAAUCAAACCGGGAGAUAGCUGGUUCUCCCCGAAAGCUAUUUAGGUAGCGCCUCGUGAAUUCAUCUCCGGGGGUAGAGCACUGUUUCGGCAAGGGGGUCAUCCCGACUUACCAACCCGAUGCAAACUGCGAAUACCGGAGAAUGUUAUCACGGGAGACACACGGCGGGUGCUAACGUCCGUCGUGAAGAGGGAAACAACCCAGACCGCCAGCUAAGGUCCCAAAGUCAUGGUUAAGUGGGAAACGAUGUGGGAAGGCCCAGACAGCCAGGAUGUUGGCUUAGAAGCAGCCAUCAUUUAAAGAAAGCGUAAUAGCUCACUGGUCGAGUCGGCCUGCGCGGAAGAUGUAACGGGGCUAAACCAUGCACCGAAGCUGCGGCAGCGACGCUGAUGCGUUGUUGGGUAGGGGAGCGUUCUGUAAGCCUGCGAAGGUGUGCUGUGAGGCAUGCUGGAGGUAUCAGAAGUGCGAAUGCUGACAUAAGUAACGAUAAAGCGGGUGAAAAGCCCGCUCGCCGGAAGACCAAGGGUUCCUGUCCAACGUUAAUCGGGGCAGGGUGAGUCGACCCCUAAGGCGAGGCCGAAAGGCGUAGUCGAUGGGAAACAGGUUAAUAUUCCUGUACUUGGUGUUACUGCGAAGGGGGGACGGAGAAGGCUAUGUUGGCCGGGCGACGGUUGUCCCGGUUUAAGCGUGUAGGCUGGUUUUCCAGGCAAAUCCGGAAAAUCAAGGCUGAGGCGUGAUGACGAGGCACUACGGUGCUGAAGCAACAAAUGCCCUGCUUCCAGGAAAAGCCUCUAAGCAUCAGGUAACAUCAAAUCGUACCCCAAACCGACACAGGUGGUCAGGUAGAGAAUACCAAGGCGCUUGAGAGAACUCGGGUGAAGGAACUAGGCAAAAUGGUGCCGUAACUUCGGGAGAA
rnacentral:rRNA from 1 species